rnacentral:rRNA from 1 species
UGGUGGAGUGAUUUGUCUGGUUAAUUCCGAUAACGAACGAGACCUUGACCUGCUGACUGCCUGAAGUGCAUUUGCACGGAAGGGCACUCAGAGGGACGGGCUGCGGGAGCAGCCGGAGGUGCGAGGCAAUAACA